GGAGGAAAGAGGAGCUUGUUCAGCCAGUCUGGAGUGCCAUGCUCUUUCUUGGUUCAGCCUGAAGAUUCAAGUCCAAUCUCUUCUGAAGGCUAUCUGCACAUGCAGAGAGAGAUGUGCCCAUAAUCCC
rnacentral:lncRNA from 1 species